UACGAAGGGGGCUAGCGUUACUCGGAAUUACUGGGCGUAAAGGGCGCGUAGGCGGCGCUCCAAGUUAGGCGUGAAAGUCCUGGGCUCAACCUGGGAACUGCGCUUAAGACUGGAGUGCUUGAGGAUGGAAGAGGCUCGUGGAAUUCCCAGUGUAGAGGUGAAAUUCGUAGAUAUUGGGAAGAACACCGGUGGCGAAGGCGGCGAGCUGGUCCAUUACUGACGCUGAGGCGCGAUAGCGUGGGGAGCAAAC
rnacentral:rRNA from 1 species